rnacentral:rRNA from 1 species
UAAUUGAAGAGUUUGAUCAUGGCUCAGAUUGAACGCUGGCGGCAGGCCUAACACAUGCAAGUCGAGCGGUAACAGGGGAAGCUUGCUUCUCGCUGACGAGCGGCGGACGGGUGAGUAAUGUAUGGGGAUCUGCCCGAUAGAGGGGGAUAACCACUGGAAACGGUGGCUAAUACCGCAUAAUCUCU